rnacentral:rRNA from 1 species
AUUGAACGCUGGCGGCAGGCCUAACACAUGCAAGUCGCACGAGUGGCAGACGGGUGAGUAAUGUCUGGGAAACUGCCUGAUGGAGGGGGAUAACUACGGGAAACGGUAGCUAAUCCCGCAUACCCUCGGAUGUGCCCAGAUUGGAUUAGCUUGUUGGUGGGGUAACGGCGCACCAAGGCGCCGAUCCCUAGCUGGUCUGAGAGGUUGACCAGCCACACUGUAACUGAGACACGGUCCAGACGCCUACGGGAGGCAGCAGUGGGGAAUAUUGCACAAUGGGCGCAAGCCUGAUGCAGCCAUGCCGCGUGUAUGAAGAAGGCCUUCGGGUUGUAAAGUACUUUCAGCGGGGAGGCGUUACCCGCAGAAGAAGCACCGGCUAACUCCGUGCCAGCAGCCGCGGUAAUAC